GCGUUACGGUAGCAGAAGUGGCGUUUGUAUCGGCGAAUAUCAAAUUAAUUCCACCAAGCAGCUUGUAGGUUAAACCUGGACGACCAAGGUGCCUGGACAUGGGUUACAAGCUAAAACUGUCCGUGGUCACCUUUCCGAGAAAGCCAUGUUAUGCUGGACUUUCCCUGUGAAGAACGUGGAAAUGAGGAAACAAACAACGUUUGGGAUGACAGGGUCAUGUAUGUUCUUACAGCUUGACGACGAUGUAACAAUCUUCAGCGACAGGACCUGACCUUAUGCUGAACAGACGUUCGAAAGCAACAACCAUUGUAUCACAUGGAGCAGGCCGGCAAAAACAUGCUUCCAGAAAACGAAUUGUUUUAGAAAAAAUAUAUUACCCCAUUGAAACAAAGUUCCUUGAUUUAUUAUAAAUUCAAUAUACUAGUCAUGGUCUCCGGGUCUCUAUUAAUAAAAAUAUUUAGAACUAAA